UACGUAGGGGGCAAGCGUUUGUCCGGAAUCAUUGGGCGUAAAGAGCGUGUAGGCGGCUCGAUAAGUCUGCUGUGAAAGUCCAGGGCUCAACCCUGGAAGGCCGGUGGGAAACUGUCGGGGCUAGAGUCCGGAAGAGGCGAGUGGAAUUCCCGGUGUAGCGGUGAAAUGCGCAGAUAUCGGGAGGAACACCGGUGGCGAAGGCGGUUCUCUGGGACGGUACCGACGCUGAGACGCGAAAGCGUGGGGAGCGAACAGGG
rnacentral:rRNA from 1 species